rnacentral:rRNA from 1 species
GAUGAACGCUAGCGAUAGGCUUAACACAUGCAAGUCGAGGGGCAGCGAUGGUAGCAAUACCUGUCGGCGACCGGCGCACGGGUGAGUAACGCGUAUGUAACCUGCCCGCAACAGAGGGACAACCCGGCGAAAGUCGGACUAAUACCUCAUAAAACAGGGGUUCCGCAUGGGGCUAUUUGUUAAAGAUUUAUUGGUUGCGGAUGGGCAUGCGUACCAUUAGGUAGUUGGUGAGGUAACGGCUCACCAAGCCAUCGAUGGUUAGGGGUUCUGAGAGGAAGGUCCCCCACACUGGUACUGAGACACGGACCAGACUCCUACGGGAGGCAGCAGUGAGGAAUAUUGGUCAAUGGGCGAGAGCCUGAACCAGCCAAGUCGCGUGAAGGAUGACUGCCCUAUGGGUUGUAAACUUCUUUUACAGGGGAAUAAAAUGAGAUACGUGUAUUUUAUUGCAUGUACCUUGU